rnacentral:rRNA from 1 species
UACGGAGGGUGCAAGCGUUAUCCGGAUUCACUGGGUUUAAAGGGUGUGUAGGCGGAUUUUUAAGUCAGUGGUGAAAUCUCCGGGCUCAACCCGGAAACUGCCAUUGAUACUAUUAGUCUUGAAUUCUGUUGAGGUGGGCGGAAUACAUCAUGUAGCGGUGAAAUGCUUAGAUAUCGUCAAGAACACCGAUAGUGAAGACAGCUUACUAGGCUUCUACUGACGCUGAGGCACGAAAGUGUGGGGAUCAAACAGG